UACGUAGGGUGCAAGCGUUGUCCGGAAUUAUUGGGCGUAAAGAGCUUGUAGGCGGUUUGUCGCGUCUGCUGUGAAAUUUCGGGGCUCAACCCCGAACUUGCAGUGGGUACGGGCAGACUAGAGUGUGGUAGGGGAGACUGGAAUUCCUGGUGUAGCGGUGAAAUGCGCAGAUAUCAGGAGGGACACCAGUGGCGAAGGCGCCGCUCUGGGCCGACACUGACGCUGAGGAGCGAAAGCGUGGGUAGCAAACAGG
rnacentral:rRNA from 1 species